rnacentral:rRNA from 1 species
UACGGAGGGGGCUAGCGUUGUUCGGAAUUACUGGGCGUAAAGCGCACGUAGGCGGCUUUGUAAGUUAGAGGUGAAAGCCCGGAGCUUAACUCCGGAACUGCCUUUAAGACUGCAUCGCUCGAAUCAUGGAGAGGUUAGUGGAAUUCCGAGUGUAGAGGUGAAAUUCGUAGAUAUUCGGAAGAACACCAGUGGCGAAGGCGG